ensembl:miRNA
UGAUUGUUCAUCUGGACGUAACGUUUUCAGUGGGAGAAACGUCCAGAUGAACAAUCAAC